UACGGGGGGGGCAAGCGUUGUUCGGAAUUACUGGGCGUAAAGGGCUCGUAGGCGGCCAACUAAGUCAGACGUGAAAUCCCCAGGCUCAACCUGGGAACUGCGUCUGAUACUGGAUGGCUUGAAUCCGGGAGAGGGAUGCAGAAUUCCAGGUGUAGCGGUGAAAUGCGUAGAUAUCUGGAGGAAUACCGGUGGCGAAGGCGGCAUCCUGGACCGGCAUUGACGCUGGGGAGCGAAAGCCAGGGGAGCAAACGGG
rnacentral:rRNA from 1 species